AGAAGAAAAGGAAGAAUAUCAAGCAAGCCGAGUCCCAAGCAUCCGCUCAAACUCCAUGUGUGGGGGGCAAUUUCUCCCAAGAGACAAGGCCCACAUUUGAUUUUUGAUGGUAUCAUGGCUCGAGAUCUCUUUGAGGAAGAAAUCAUCAAGAGAUAUGCUGGACCCUAUGCCAGAGAGGUGUUUCUGGGACCACAUCAUUUCUUUCAAGACAAUGGCCCAAAACACACUGCCGCCCGGGUUUGCAUUGCAAAUGAGGGCAUAAACUGGGUCAAGACGCCAGCAGAGUCUCCUGAUUUAAACCUGAUCUAACUUGUUUGGCAUCAACUGAAAACAUUCAUCCGUAACUCUGCCAAGCCGACAAGCAAAGAUGAACUGGUCAAGGCCAUCAAGAUGUUUUGGCUAGAGAAAUUGACGAUACAACAAUCCAACAAAUACAUUGAUCAUCUCAGCAAGGUUUUACCUGUGGUCGUGGAGCUGGGUGGAAGUGCGACUAAAAUGUAGUUAAAAUAAGCGUCCGCAUUUGAAUGUAUUUCUCGUUAUUUAAGCAUAAAGAUGUUGAUGAAGAAAUACUGUGCUGUUGUUUUGAGUUAGAAAUGUAACACUUUAGAGUACUUAAGCAUUGAAUACAUUGCAAGUCAAGGGAUUUUCACAACAGUAGCGGCGCUAUAAAAAUGAUAUUGUCCUGCUAAUAGGAAACAUUUGCAUGAUGUGCUACACCUGCUACAGGACUACAGUACACUUGUGAAAAACAAGGGUUUGAAAACCUGUUUUCAAAUUGUUUUCAAACUGUUUCCAAUUGUCCAUCACUACUGUAAAUAAAAACACAUCAUCUUGAUCACAUCUUGUUUAUAUUCUUUAUUGUAACCACAAUGUCACAAAUAAUUUGUCUCUACCUUUCCAAUUACUUUACAAAUGUACACUUUUCAUUAUUAGUUACAUUGUUUUAGUU